GACGAACGCUGGCGGCGUGCCUAACACAUGCAAGUCGAGCGAAUGAAGUUCUUUCGGGAAUGGAUUUAGCGGCGGACGGGUGAGUAACACGUGGGCAACCUGCCUCAUAGAGGGGAAUAGCCUUCCGAAAGGGAGAUUAAUACCGCAUAAGAUUGUAGUACCGCAUGGUACAGCAAUUAAAGGAGCAAUCCGCUAUGAGAUGGGCCCGCGGCGCAUUAGCUAGUUGGGGAGGUAACGGCUCACCAAGGCGACGAUGCGUAGCUGACCUGAGAGGGUGAUAGGCCACAUUGGGACUGAGACACGGCCCAGACUCCUACGGGAGGCAGCAGUGGGGAAUAGUGCGCAAUGGGCGAAAGCCUGACGCAGCAACGCCGCGUGAGGGAUGACGGCCUUCGGGUUGUAAACCUCUUUCAGCAGGGAAGAAGCGAAAGUGACGGUACCUGCAGAAGAAGCACCGGCUAACUACGUGCCAGCCGCCGCGGUAAGAC
rnacentral:rRNA from 1 species